CCAGACUCCUACGGGAGGCAGCAGUGGGGAAUAUUGCACAAUGGGGGGAACCCUGAUGCAGCGAUGCCGCGUGGAGGAAGAAGGUUUUCGGAUUGUAAACUCCUUUUAUCAGGGACGAUAAUGACGGUACCUGAAGAAAAAGCUCCGGCUAACUACGUGCCAGCAGCCGCGGUAAUACGGAGGAUGCGAGCGUUAUCCGGAUUUAUUGGGUUUAAAGGGUGCGCAGGCGGAAUGUCAAGUCAGCGGUAAAAUUUCGGGGCUCAACCCCGUCGUGCCGUUGAAACUGGCGUUCUUGAGUGAGCGAGAAGUAUGCGGAAUGCGUGGUGUAGCGGUGAAAUGCAUAGAUAUCACGCAGAACUCCGAUUGCGAAGGCAGCAUACCGGCGCUCAACUGACGCUCAUGCACGAAAGCGUGGGUAUCGAACAGGAUUAGAUACCCGAGUA
rnacentral:rRNA from 1 species